rnacentral:rRNA from 1 species
UCUUUUCCUUUUUUGCCCGCCGCCGCGGUAAUACGUAUGGAGCAAGCGUUAUCCGGAUUUACUGGGUGUAAAGGGAGUGUAGGUGGCCAUGCAAGUCAGAAGUGAAAAUCCGGGGCUCAACCCCGGAACUGCUUUUGAAACUGUAAGGCUGGAGUGCAGGAGGGGUGAGUGGAAUUCCUAGUGUAGCGGUGAAAUGCGUAGAUAUUAGGAGGAACACCAGUGGCGAAGGCGGCUCACUGGACUGUAACUGACACUGAGGCUCGAAAGCGUGGGGAGCAAACAGG